UACGUAGGGGGCAAGCGUUGUCCGGAUUUAUUGGGCGUAAAGAGCUCGUAGGCGGUUUGGUAAGUCAGGUGUGAAAUCUCCACGCUCAACGUGGAGGGGCCACCUGAUACUGCCAUGACUGGAGUCCGGUAGAGGAGUGUGGAAUUCCCGGUGUAGCGGUGAAAUGCGCAGAUAUCGGGAGGAACACCGAUGGCGAAGGCAGGUCUCUGGGCAUUAACUGACGCUGAGGAGCGAAAGCAUGGGGAGCGAACAGG
rnacentral:rRNA from 1 species